UCUCUCUCUCUCUCAUCCUGCAGAUAGCUGUUUCUUUUGUUAUAUAUAUGACACACUUGUUAACUAGCUCAAUAACUCUGCAUUUGGUUGUUUUCCAUAACCACAGUGUGUGUAUAUAGAUAUCUACAUAUAUAAGUCUAUAUGUAAAUAUAUCUAUAUAGCUAAGAUAUCAUGUACGGCUGUUUCUAGAAGAUAUCCCAUCUGUGCUAUAAUUGUAUUCAGAUUUUUGUUCUCUUGUAUACGUUUCUUAUUGCUGCAUGUAAUGUUUGUAUCAUGCAUCGUUUUAAAAUCCCACUUCAAUAGCUAUCGGUAUUUUUGUGUCUUCAUUAUUUUUUAUGGUGUGGAAUAUAAAAUGUUAUUGCCCAAAGCAUUUGACUCGAUGGUGCUAAUUAGAUGCAAGUUAUUAAUAUUUUAUGGAUCCCACAAACCCACUUCAACAAAUACUGGCCCCAAAUCGACACCCUACAAUCCACUAUAUACCUUGACCCUUCCACCCCACUAAGCUAGCAGCCACCUUAAUUAGUUUAAUUUUUCUCCAUAGGAAAUUACCUAAAAAAUAGUCUCUAGCCGUUUCUUUAAUUUGGUUGUAAACAUUAGUGUAGUUAUGUUGGUUAGAGCAAUGUGUACUCCUUCCUUUAUAUUUAAGAUCGAAUUCCUCAUCUCGUAGUUUAGAGUGAAUCAAAAAUCGCUUUGUAAAAGAAAAUAAAUUUGGUUUGAUGGAGCCGACAUGGGACCAUAUUUGGUAUUCUUUAAUUCAAGUACUUUUGCCCCUUUUAUUAGGUCAAGGGUAGCAGCUAGCCCUGCUCAAAAGGCGAAAAGACCGCUACAAACUCUUUAGAUUUGGCCACAUUUCUUCAACAACUUGACUUGCUUUCGGGUUCAUGGUGAAAGAACAUCUGCUCUUUUAUGUUAUUAGUCUUUCUUUAUCAACAAAAGAAGAGUGGAAAUUCGAACUUGAAGCAGGAGAGCUAAUCGACGGGUCAUCUACUAGUUCCAAGCAGUCUUCGAUCUAGAGAGAGAUCGAUCACAGAUAUGCAAUCUUCCUCCCUCUCUCUUGUGAUUGUUGGUUUACGGUUCGAAUAUCUGGUUUUACUUUUGAUUGAUUAACAGUGUUGAGAAUGAAUCUCACUUGGAGAAGGACCUUGCACGGGCUUAUAAGUAAUUUGAGUUACUCUCUAUAUUAUUGGCAAUUGAUUUUAUGGUGGAACUCAACUUUCUUCAUGGUAUCAGAGCAGAUUGUUCCAUGUGUAAAGCCAAAUGGCCACAAGUGCUACAUGUCAUCCCAUUUGGGUUGUUCAGGUGUUAGACUUGAAAAUUUGUCACACGUGGAGAGACCUUGUAUGGGCUAGUGGAUUUUUGUGAACAAGAGUUGGCCACGAAUGCCGCUGCUUGCAGCCUGUUUCCGGCAUCUCUAUCUCCGCGGAGACUGCUCAGCAGCAGCGGUCGGAAGAACCAUACUUACCAAAAGCUGCCCCAGGAGCCGCUUACGCUCUUCGUCAUCAAAUUGGAUGGUUCUAGCUUUGAGAUUCAAGUUUCAAAGACGGCGACCGUGGCCGAACUGAACGAGGCAGUGAAAGAUGUUUUCAGUCAGUCGUCGAUAGAUGAAAUGAUUUCAUGGUCACAUGUGUGGGGUAAUUUUUGCUUAUGCUAUGAAGGUCAGAAGCUACUCGAUUACAAGGCAUUAAUCCGACCUUUUGGAAUCAAAGAUGGCGAUAAGAUAUUUUUUGUUCGACAUGCUUCAAUAAUUAAGUAUGAGCGGGAAAAGCGGCGGAUAGGGUUGUGGAGGAAAAGGAUAUGUGACAUCUCUACUUAUGAACAGCUGGUGAAGUUGUGAUGAUGAUGAAUGACAAUCACACAUGAAUAAUUUGUAUACAUGCAAUAUUAGGGUUUGUAGACGAAUGCUUCCACUUGAGAAAUCCGAUUCUUUCAUUUUUUUUGUUAAGGCAUGUACGUUGUUUAUAGUUGUAAAUAGCAAGAGUCACAGGGAACUUGUUAGUUAAAAUCAUGUACAGUCCAAUGAACAGCCAGCAGAAAAUUGUAAAU